rnacentral:lncRNA from 1 species
GCUUGUUAAACAAUGAACAUACCAGCCCCUCCUCUGACCCAUCCUCUUUCCAUCCGUUCCAGAAAGAAAGAAGCAAAGAAAUUGCUCUAUUAUAUUCUCCGUUUCAAGGCAAACCAAUUGAAGGCAAGUAAGAAAAGAAAGGUUCUAGUUGAGAAAAUAGUAAAGCACCAUGCUAAAGGUAAAAAUAUUCUUAACCUUUAAAGUCAAAGAAAUUGGUUUAUUUCUAAUUUCUUGUAAUUGCAUGUUUGGAUUGUGGGAGUAUGUUUGAUUGAGAAUCAAAUGGAUUAAGGAGUUAUAAUGAUGGAUUAGUAUGGAGAUCGGAUGUUAACAUGUUAAAAGUAACAUGAAUUUGAAUUUUAAAACUUUGCGCACCACUUGUUUGAUAAAAUGCAAUGAUGAGAUUAGUUAAUGAAAUGAUUGAGAAAGGAUUCCCAACUACAACAUAUAUCUUUAACAUACUUAUAUGUACCUGUGGAAAGGCAGGCUUAGCUAGGAAAGUUGUAGAGAGAUUUAUUAAGUUGAAGACAUUUUAUUAUAGACCAUUCAAGCAUUCCUUUAAUGCAAUGAUAUACUCCCUUCUUACUGUAAAAUAAUAUAAGUUGGUUGUGUGGUGAUAUAAGGAAGCUAAAAUGGACUAUUAUGGACUGUUUUGGAACUUUUGUGGUUUCGAUUCAUGUCUGAAAUUUAAGUUCUGUAGUAUUAUGUUAUACUCCUAUGAGUUAUGAAAAUAACCCAAUUGGAACGAAGUAAAAACGAGCUCAAACGAAUUUAUAGUGAAUGUUUUGGUAAAACAUGUUAAAAAACUAAGAAAAACUGGAUGAACAGUGACUAUAGUGUCAAAUUCUGGAAUAGUUAUGUUGCCUGAAAAAUUCUGAGUUUAUGGGUAGUUGUAGUGCACUGAGUUAGGAUGCCAUAGGCUUUGGAAUGACCUCAUUCCGACCUCGGAUGAGGGAGUUAUGGUGAUUGGAAGGAAAUGCGUCGAAUUUGUCAAACUGGAAGUCAGCAUCAGGACGUGCUAUUCGGGACACAGUUUCGAUCAGUUAAUAUUUCCAGAAAAUUCUGUGCUUUUGGUAUGUUAUAGUACACUGAAUAAGCUUUCCAUAGACUCUGGAACGGACUAAUUCCAACUUCGGAACAAAACGUUAUGACCGUUCAAAGUAGUCGCGUCAAAACUGUCUAACCAACUCGGGUCAGUCCCUUUACACGGAAUUUGGGAAAAGGUCAAAGAAUAAAAGUUGUAGGUCCGGAAGUUAGCUUCGCGUGGACUUAAGAAUCGCUCAAAAAUGUUUUGAAAUGAAAAAGUUAUGACUGUUUUAGCGAGAGAGGGUACAGCUGGAAAGAAAUCGAAAACUGUUAUGAACAUACACUUUUGACGCUCUGUUUGGGCUGUCUAACAAACCCGGAAUGGGGGUUUGAUAUUUUUUAAAAAUAUUCUCGUAUGAUACGAAAAACAUACCAAAAAUUGGUUGAUAUCCGAGCUACAAACAAGAAGUUAAAAAUGCGCAUAUUAUGCUUCAAGCAACUGAGUAGCAGCAGGGCAUUGCCCAGCCACGCGCGGUCGCGCGAGCAUGCCGCGCCGUGCUGCGCUGGUACAGUCGCCUGGCAAGCUUUUCACGUGCUGUUUUGGUCGAUCUUAGUCGCUUGUUUUCAUGGUUAUAAAAUUUCUAUAAAUACUUUGAUAUAUCGACUAAAACAUAUCCAAAACUUACAGCAAGUUGAUUAGAGGUUUAAGAAAUAAAAAUUAGCAGAGGAGAGUGUCAAGCCAUGGGCUGCCCAGCCCAGGCGGCCAACGCCGAGCCUGGCAGCCUUGGGGCUACUCAGCUUAUCGUGUUUCUGCGACGUGUUUGGUUGGUUUUAGAGUUAUUUGGCACAUAAUGAAACACCAGUAUAGUAGUAUAAAUAUAGUAUAAAGACUAUAUAUGCCGCAAACUUAUUCGUGCACAAGAAAAGCGAUAAAAGUAAUAUGUAAACAUGAAAUUACAUAUAUGUGAUCAACCUGAAUUGAGAAAUGAAAUAUAAAAAGGUUAUGUAUUAAAAUAAAAUACGCUAACCCAUUUAAACUAUAUUGAACAUCGGAAUUUGAAAGCGAAAGGUUUUAGAAAUUCGAAACGAAGACUAUGAACACAUAAUCACAUAAUGACAUGUAUGAAAAUAAAAUACAUGUGAAGCACGAAUGUAAUUUAUUCACGAGAAUAAAUGUUAAGCGAAGCUACUAACAAAGCAAGACAUUCACGUACAUGGUGAUAGCAUGGUUUAGCACAUGGUCUAUUGCGAAAACAUAAAAAAUUUCGAAAACUUAAUAAUAAUGAUAUGAGCUAUGUUUACAUGAUAAAAACCAUCCAUAACCAUAUAGUCUUAAGUUUACAGAUGGAGACAAGGAAUAUUCUUAAAAUGGAUUAUAGAUGGUUUAUGCUCUUAAACGUAAAGUAUUUAUAUACUAAAACCAUGAGAGAACCUUUUUGUGCAUAAAAAGGGUUAUAACAGACAAAAGUUUCUAAAGAAACGUGGAACGGUUUAAGACAAGAACAAAAAGAUUAUACUUAAUGUAAAAUAAAAAUUAGUUUACAUUAAGUAUGUGAAUUUAGUAUGUGAAACUAAUGUGUGUAUGAAUAUAUACUCAAUUUGUGUAGGAUCAUCACCGAGCAGAUAAGUUAUAACAUUAAACAGAACUAAAGGCAAGUUUCUCAGUUUAUUUAUGUGGUCUUAUAAUUGUUAUAGAUAACUGUUAGCAUGAUUUAUGUUUAUAAGGAUGUAAUACCUAUAAAAUACAUUAUUUGCUUUGUGAAUGAUGAAUGUUAAAUUAUGACUAAUUAUUGAAUUGAGUCGGGAAACUCAAUAUAUAUGUGCAAUAAAUGACAUGUACAUGACACGUGUAGCAUGCUAUGACGUGUAUGUUGCUACCAGCGGGACAUAAAUAUGAUAAUGCAUUUGUAAUAUGCUUGAACACCAAGAAUAUAAAUGCAUGAACUGAAUGUGAAACCUAUGUACUACGUGAUGCAUGAUAGACUGUUAGACUUGUUGGGUCGUUGUGCUCAAUCUUGCUUAAUUUGCAGGUUAAAGCUAUGAUGCGAUCUAUCGUGAUUAGAAGCGCAUAAAAAGAAAACUAGUGAUUUAAUUGAGAUUGUGUUGAAUCAUUUGAUGGUAUUUUCAUGUGUAAAUCACAAAUGUGUAAAAUUUUGAAUUAUUCGAUAGAUGAAGAUUN